GAUGAAGAACGUAGCGAAAUGCGAUAAGUAAUGUGAAUUGCAGAAUUCAGUGAAUCAUCGAAUCUUUGAACGCACAUUGCGCCCCUUGGUAUUCCAUGGGGCAUGCCUGUUCGAGCGUCAUUUGUACCUUCAAGCUUUGCUUGGUGUUGGGUGUUUGUCCUGAGGGACUCGCCUUAAAGUAAUUGGCAGCCAGUGUUUUGGUUUUGAAGCGCAGCACAAGUCGCGAUUCAAAGCUAUACGCCAGCUUCCACAAGCCUUUUUCACUUUUGACCUCGGAUCAGGUAGGGAUACCCGCUGAACUUAAGCAUAUCAAUAAGCGGAGGA
rnacentral:misc_RNA from 1 species